rnacentral:ncRNA from 1 species
ACAAAUAUGAUGACUGGAAAGAGUAGAAAGCAAUUGGCUUCUCAGAGAGUGGGCGCUUGGUGCGAGUCCGCAGGUUCAAGCUUUUGAAAAUCAUCCAUGAGUUGCAGCCUGAAUGAAACAUAGGUAAGGUGUGCCGGUGAUGAGCCGUUAUAGAAUGAAGUGAUUAUUGUCACGUUUUAGUUUUUGUGUCCGAAUUAUCAUAUGUGACAAAAUAAAUUGGGUGGUACCGCGAAAACAGCCUCGUCCCUUAA